rnacentral:rRNA from 1 species
UACGUAGGGUGCAGGCGUUAAUCGGAAUUACUGGGCGUAAAGCGUGCGCAGGCGGUCUGCUAAGAGAGAUGUGAAAUCCCCGGGCUUAACCUGGGAACUGCGUUUCUAACUGGCAGGCUAGAGUGAGGCAGAGGGGGGUGGAAUUCCACGUGUAGCAGUGAAAUGCGUAGAGAUGUGGAGGAACACCGAUGGCGAAGGCAGCCCCCUGGGCUAACACUGACGCUCAUGCACGAAAGCGUGGGGAGCAAACAGG